rnacentral:rRNA from 1 species
UCUUGCGCAAUGGCCGCAAGGCUGACGCAGCGACGCCGCGUGCGGGAGGACGCCCUUCAGGGUGUAAACCGCUGUUGCCCGGGACGAAUGGCUUCUUUCGAGGAGCGUGACGGUACCGGGUGAGGAAGCACCGGCUAACUCCGUGCCAGCAGCCGCGGUAAUACGGAGGGUGCGAGCGUUGUCCGGAAUCACUGGGCGUAAAGGGCGCGUAGGCGGUCUGGUAAGCGUGCGGUGAAAGCCCGGGGCUCAACCCCGGGUCGGCCGUGCGGACUGCGAGACUGGAGCACUGUAGAGGCAGAUGGAAUUCCGGGUGUAGCGGUGGAAUGCGUAGAGAUCCGGAAGAACACCGGUGGCGAAGGCGGUCUGCUGGGCAGUGGCUGACGCUGAUGCGCGACAGCGUGGGGAGCAAAC